rnacentral:antisense_RNA from 1 species
GCUGAUCUUGAACUCCCGACCUCAGGUGAUCCACCCGCCUGGACCUCCGAAAGUGCUGGGAUUACAGGCAUGAGCCACCACGCCCAGCCCAAAUGCUGUUUUAAAGGUCAUCAUGUCUCCUGGGUUCCCUAACAAAGACAGUCCAGCUUUUUCCUGGCAUUACCUGGACCACCUGGUGCCAUGCCACCU